rnacentral:rRNA from 1 species
GAUGAACGCUGGCGGCGUGCCUAAUACAUGCAAGUCGAGCGAACAGACGAGGAGCUUGCUCCUCUGACGUUAGCGGCGGACGGGUGAGUAACACGUGGAUAACCUACCUAUAAGACUGGGAUAACUUCGGGAAACCGGAGCUAGUACCGGAUAAUAUAUUGAACCGCAUGGUUCAAUAGUGAAAGACGGUUUUGCUGUCACUUAUAGAUGGAUCCGCGCCGCAUUAGCUAGUUGGUAAGGUAACGGCUUACCAAGGCAACGAUGCGUAGCCGACCUGAGAGGGUGAUCGGCCACACUGGAACUGAGACACGGUCCAGACUCCUAAGGGAGGCAGCAGUAGGGAAUCUUCCGCAAUGGGCGAAAGCCUGACGGAGCAACGCCGCGUGAGUGAUGAAGGUCUUCGGAUCGUAAAACUCUGUUAUUAGGGAAGAACAAAUGUGUAAGUAACUAUGCACGUCUUGACGGUACCUAAUCAGAAAGCCACGGCUAACUACGUG